rnacentral:rRNA from 1 species
GUGCCAGCCGCCGGGUAAUACGUAGGGUGCGAGCGUUGUCCGGAAUUACUGGGCGUAAAGAGCUCGUAGGUGGUUUGUCGCGUUGUUCGUGAAAUCUCACGGCUUAACUGUGAGCGUGCGGGCGAUACGGGCAGACUGGAGUACUGCAGGGGAGACUGGAAUUCCUGGUGUAGCGGUGGAAUGCGCAGAUAUCAGGAGGAACACCGGUGGCGAAGGCGGGUCUCUGGGCAGUAACUGACGCUGAGGAGCGAAAGCGUGGGGAGCGAACAGGAUUAGAUACCCUGGUAGUCCACGCCGUAAACGGUGGGUACUAGGUGUGGGUUUCCUUCCUUGGGAUCCGUGCCGUAGCUAACGCAUUAAGUACCCCGCCUGGGGAGUACGGCCGCAAGGCUAAAACUUAAAGGAAUUGACGG